rnacentral:lncRNA from 1 species
AAAUAACUUAUUUAUAAAUUUAUAGAAAAGUUUAAAUUUUUUACAUCUCACGGAGAAAAACUAUGACUAUUCUAAAAAAUAAUUAUGUUAUGAUCGUCUUAAUUUUCUUUAUUUUUAUUGUAAGGGUUUUAAACUUCGGUAUGCACAUGUUCUCAUCUUUUUAAACUUUUAUACUUUAACUUAUACAUAUUUUUUCAUCACAUUUCGCUAACAACUCUUACCUUUAUUUUAUAAUUCCCAGGAGAUCCUUUUCCUUGUAGUAAUGACGAGGAGUGUGAAUCAUAUUGUGGUACUCUUUUCAUUGAAAUUUGUAGUAAUUAUCAAUGUAGAUGUACACGAAAACAAUUACGUUGAAAAUAUAUUAUUAUAUACAAUGUUGUAGUUUUUAUGAUUACUUUUAUAUUUUGAUUUAUAUUACUUAAAAGUUUCAAUAAAAAUUGACAAACGCUAAAGCGCAUGAAUUAUAUUAUGCAAGUGUUGUCAACUUUGUUUUCUUUCCAAAGAUAUAUGAAAAAAACAAUGUGACCGCAUAAUAAUUAUCAUAUACUUCGAUGAUGAAGAGUUAUAAUGCUAGUUUGAUUUAUAAGUUUUUGAAAUUAUGUUUGUCAGGGGACAAAUGUCUUACACGUUUUCUGGGACAAUUGUUCCUUUUUUAUGAUGUUUGAGAAAACGUGUAUAACAAUUGUGAUGCAGAAUAUUAAUAACAAAAGCAA